AUUGAACGCUGGCGGCAGGCUUAACACAUGCAAGUCGAGCGGGGUGAUGGUGCUUGCACUAUCACCUAGCGGCGGACGGGUGAGUAAUGCUUAGGAAUCUGCCUAUUAGUGGGGGACAACAUUUCGAAAGGAAUGCUAAUACCGCAUACGUCCUACGGGAGAAAGCAGGGGAUCUUCGGACCUUGCGCUAACAGAUGAGCCUAAGUCGGAUUAGCUAGUUGGUGGGGUAAAGGCCUACCAAGGCGACGAUCUGUAGCGGGUCUGAGAGGAUGAUCCGCCACACUGGGACUGAGACACGGCCCAGACUCCUACGGGAGGCAGCAGUGGGGAAUAUUGGACAAUGGGCGCAAGCCUGAUCCAACCAUGCCGCGUGUGUGAAGAAGGCCUUAUGGUUGUAAAGCACUUUAAGCGAGGAGGAGGCUACUUUAGAUAAUACCUAGAGAUAGUGGACGUUACUCGCAGAAUAAGCACCGGCUAACUCUGUGCCAGCCGCCGCCGUAA
rnacentral:rRNA from 1 species